rnacentral:lncRNA from 1 species
AUGCAGAUAUAUUUCAAGAUGGCGGCGCACACGGGUGCAGCGGCUCUUAGCUCUCCAACUUGGUGCUUGUUUUCUUUAUUUUUAGUACUUUUUUUUAGUGUAUUUUUUAAUAUUUACGAAGCCGUUACCUCAUACGGUCGCCAGAGCCUAAUCGACCUGGGUUUCAGACACAAGCUGAGUGUUACUGGCGACUUUCAGAGAAAACACAACAUACCAGAGGACAUAGCGAGAACACCGGGGUCUCCGUGGAUGAUCUGCCCGCCUAGCAGGCGCAAGAGGCGGCGGAGCGAGAGGAAGCAGAAGCGGGGAUGCCGGUCGGGCUCCGAUGCAAGGCUGCGUAGACACCCACACCGGCCAGCUCUGCCGAGCCUCUUUCUCUCGAACGCCAGAUCCAUCACCCACAAAAUGGACGAACUUGAGCUGCAGAUGGCAACUACGAGCUCUGUACGGAAUUGCAACAUAAUAUUCAUCACUGAGACGUGGCUAAACCCGCUGAUCCCUGACGCUGCAGUCGAGAUCGCAGGCCGCACGCUACACCGGCAUGAUAGGAACAAAGACUCAGGUAAGAGCAGAGGAGGGGGGCUCUGUGUGUACGUGAACAUCGAGUGGUGCUGUCGCAGCAGAAUCAUCGAUACACACUGUUCUCCUGAUUUAGAGGUUCUGGCAGUCUCGUGCAGACCUUUUUAUCUACCAAGGGAGUUUACAGUAGUUAUUGUGUUUGCUGUUUACAUCCCACCGCAUGCUAACGUUAGCACGGCUCUUAGUCUUCUGCUCAACACCAUCAACAAGCAGCAGCUCGCCCAUCCUGAUGGGGUUGUUAUUGUGGCCGGAGACUUCAACCAGGCGUGCCUAAAGUCUGUGCUCCCAAAGUUCUUUCAGUUUGUGGAUUUUGCUAAAAGAGGGGAAAAUAUUUUGGAUCAUGUCUAUUCCAACAUUAGGCAUGCUUACAAAGCAAUACCCUUCCCCCACCUGGCUGGAUCUGACCACCUCUGCAUGCACCUCACCCCCACCUACACCCCCCUGCUGAGGCAAACAAAGCCUCAGUCAAAGACAAUUAAAACAUGGCCUGAAGCAGCAUCAGCUUCAAGACUGCUUCUCCACAACUACGUGGGACAUCUUCUCAAGCCAAAACCUUCAGGAAUAUACGAACACCGUACUCUCCUACAUCAGAAACUGUGUUGA